rnacentral:rRNA from 1 species
GCUUACGGCCACACCGGGGUUCACGCCCGAUCUCGCUUUGAUCUCGGAAGCUAAGAUAGGUUGGGCCUGGUUAGUACUUGGAUGGGAGACCGCCUGGGAAUACCAGGUGCUGUGCUUU